rnacentral:rRNA from 1 species
UACGAAGGGGGCUAGCGUUGCUCGGAAUCACUGGGCGUAAAGCGCACGUAGGCGGCUUGCUAAGUCAGGGGUGAAAUCCUGGAGCUCAACUCCAGAACUGCCUUUGAUACUGGCGAUCUUGAGUCCGGGAGAGGUGAGUGGAACUGCAAGUGUAGAGGUGAAAUUCGUAGAUAUUCGCAAGAACACCAGUGGCGAAGGCGGCUCACUGGCCCGGUACUGACGCUGAGGUGCGAAAGCGUGGGGAGCAAACAGG